CAGCAGCCGUGGUAAUACAGAGGGUGCGAGCGUUAAUCGGAUUUACUGGGCGUAAAGCGUGCGUAGGCGGCUUCUUAAGUCGGAUGUGAAAUCCCUGAGCUUAACUUAGGAAUUGCAUUCGAUACUGGGAAGCUAGAGUAUGGGAGAGGAUGGUAGAAUUCCAGGUGUAGCGGUGAAAUGCGUAGAGAUCUGGAGGAAUACCGAUGGCGAAGGCAGCCAUCUGGCCUAAUACUGACGCUGAGGUACGAAAGCAUGGGGAGCAAACAGGAUUAGAUACCCCGGUAGUCCCUGUCUCUUAUAC
rnacentral:rRNA from 1 species